AGCUGCUGUGGGCAAAGAGGGUCAGGGACACAUUCUAAGCAUAUGCGACCGAGUCAGGGUGCCGAAGGAGGAAGCAAAGUUUCUGUAACUCAGACAAGAUUCCAGGAUGGCAGGCGACUACCAUGCCACCAAACGAGUCUGGGCUGUGGCUCUUCUCUCAGGCCCUUGACAUUGACUAUGGAAAUAAAAAUGACCCAGAGGAAUGAAAUCAUCAGCAUUUAGUACAGGUGGACACUGGGAGAAGCCAAGAGAGGAAGAGACAUCUGAAUCAAAGAGGAUUUGUCAGUCUAAUUAAAGGCGAGUGCCACUGGCAUCUUUUAACUGUGUUCUCACCGUCCUGGUUUAGAAGCUCACACAGAGAUGGAAGUGCUUUGACCUCUCUGCUGUCCUGUUGGAGCAGGGAGCAACCUGUUGAUGCUGGGUCUCCUUUGAAGUUCUGUCUUCAGCACCAGCCCAGUGCCUGGCAGCGGGUCAGCUUUCAGCAGCUGUUUUCGUGCAGAGGAGUGAAGGAGUGAAUGGGGAUCCCGUCCCUGCUUUGCCAACGCUUAAGACGGGGUUAUGGGAACUCGGUGGGUGAGAGAGAAGCA